CCGUCACAUUCUAUGUUUCCUAUGUCCCUGCUGUCUGCUGUGGAGUUCGGUUUUUGGGACCGGCGUCCCAUUGCAGGCAUGGAGUGUUGGGUGGUCUGUGUGGCGUGAGGCACGGUGUCUGGCGGGCUCUGUGUGUAGCUGCCGCUUAGGAGAGCCUCCAGGCCAUGGAUCGUUGGCGCACAGUAGGCCGCGGUCCUGCGCUGCGGCUUGG